GUGGAUUACUUGUAGAGACCGGAUGCUUGUGUGGUUGCGGAGCAGCAAGCUAGAACCAACUUGCUGAAAGGUUAGUGUUCUGUUUUCAGUUUUUGGAGUUGAGAUUUGAUCUCAAUUCAAGAAUAUAUACGAUGUGAUCCGUGCAUGAAUAUUUCUAUUACAUAUCAUGCGGAUUCAUCUGGGAAUUUCGUAGGAUUGGAUCAGAUCCAAAGUUUGCAAUGGGCUAUUUUGAAAAGCUCUAUUUUAUUUUGCUGAAAAUUGUUUUCAAAUUGCAUACUUUCACCUUAAUCGGUGAAUCCUCGGCGCAUACGAUGCUCAAAUUUUCUUCAAGUAUCAGAGCCACCGAUCAUGUAACCUGCUGCCAUCCUUUCUUCCGCCUUCUCUGUGGUCGUCGUCGCUCAUAGAUCCUCUGUCUCUUUUGCCCGUCAGAAACUUGGCAGAUAAAUUUGGUAGGCACGAUCUUGUUUCAAACUCCAGCAGUGAUGCGUCAAACCGUACCGUCAGAAAUCUUGCAGGUAAAUUUGGGAGGCGCGAUCUCGUUUCAAACUCCAGCAGCGGCGCGUUAAACCGUACCGUCAGAAAUUUGGCAGGUAAAUUUGGCAGGUGUGAUCUCGUUCCAAACCCCAACAGCGGCACAUCAAACCAUGCCAUCAGAAGUUUGACAGAUAAAUUUGGCAGAUGCGAUCUCGUUCCAAAACCUAGCAGCGGCGCGUCAAACUGUACCGUCAGAAAUUGGACAGGUAAAUUUAGCAGGCGCGAUCUCGCUCUCGAUCAUGGAGUUAUACAUCUGUAUAGCAUCAUAGCAUCACCCCAGUCCUCAAUCUCCGGCUUUAUUUGCUACCUCCAGCUCCUUCAUCAUCCAAUUCCAAGUCUCUUGCUCUUCUUCUAUGGUGCUUUCGUCUACAAGCAUCGUUGAGCUUCAAUUGCCUUCUCUCUGAGUUCUAUCUUCACUGCGGAUGUCUUCACC
rnacentral:lncRNA from 1 species